GAAAUGCGAUAAGUAAUGUGAAUUGCAGAAUUCAGUGAAUCAUCGAAUCUUUGAACGCACAUUGCGCCCGCUAGUAUUCUGGCGGGCAUGCCUGUUCGAGCGUCAUUUCAACCAUCAAGCCCCAGGCUUGUGUUGGGGCCCUGCGGCCGUCCGCAGCCCCCGAAAAGCAGUGGCGGGCUCGCUGUCACACCGAGCGCAGUAGUAUAUCUUCGCUAGGACGUGAUUGCGGGUUCCGGCCGUUAAAUACCCCAAUUUAUCAAGGUUGACCUCGGAUCAGGUAGGAAUACCCGCUGAACUUAA
rnacentral:misc_RNA from 1 species